rnacentral:lncRNA from 1 species
AUGAAUGCCAGAUGCCUCUAGUGAGCCACCUUGAAUCACUAUUCUGAAUACAUCUUGAGUAAAAAGAGAAAAUUGCUCAUGUUUCCAUGUCUAUCUGAAUCAUGUUAUUGGACCAUGAGAGCAAGCAGCUGGAUCUCAUUCUGUCCAGGGUUUCAUCAUUUUUGGCCAUGCUGGCCUUGAACGCCUAACCUCAAAUGAUCCACCUGCCUUGGCCUCCUGAAGUUCUGGGAGUUAUAGGCAUGAGUCACCAUGCCUGGCACCACAUAAAAUUAUUUUGUCAUUAACAUUACAUUUUAAAAUACAAACGCUGUUUUCCAUAUUACUCAGGUCAGAUCUUUUACCCCACUUCUCUCAGUGAGAUUGCAUUAUUUAUUUCCAUCUCUAUAAUCUACUGUUCAUCCAUCUAUCUAUCCAUCCCUCAAUUUAGUUUUUUCACUACAUUCUGCAUUUGAUUCUUUUGAGGGUGUAUGCUUGUGUUUGUGCGUGGAAGUGGGGGUGUGUGUGUGUGUGUGUGUUCAAAAAGGUCUACAGUUUCCUUUUUCUGUAAUAUCUGUGUCUGCUGUUGGUAUUAGGGUAAUGCUGAACUCAUAGAGUAUGUGAAAAGUUUUCUACAUUCUUUGAUUUUUCUGAAAGAAAUUGUGCAGAAUUCAUAUUAUUUCUUUCUUAAAUGCUCAAGUGUUUAUUAAAAUUUACCAGUAAAAUAUUAUGACCCUAGGGUUUUCUUUUUUGGAAGGUGUUUAACUAAAAUUUCAAUGUAUUUGAUAAAUGUAGGACUAUUAAAAUUAUCUAUUUUUCCUUGAGUUGGUUUGGUAGUUUCUGUCUGUCAAGGAAUUGGUCUGUUUUAUCUAAGUUGCCAAAUGUAUUGGCAUAAUUACCUUAUUGAUAUUUGUCAGCUUCUUUCACUCCUUAUAUUGACAUUUUAUUCUCUACUCUUUUCUUUAUCAGCAUGACAAAAGGUUUACCAAAUACAUUGAUAUUUUCAGAUAAUUGCCUUUUUUCAUUUCAUUUAUUGUUGCUAUUUCUACUUUUAUUUCUACUCUUAUACUUAGUAUUUCCUCAUUCAAUUUGUUUUGUAUUUAAUUUGCCACUUCUUAUGGAGGACAUUUAGAUUGCUAGAUUUUAGUUAGGUCAUGCUUUUGUUCUCAGCAGGCCUUAUGAUAGAAAUUUUUCUCUUUUCUGCUUUAGUCACAUCCAUACAUUUUUAUAUAUUGUAUUUUCACUUACAUUCAUUUGAACAUAUUUUAAAUAUAUCUGAGACUUAUUUUUUAACACGUGAGUUAUGUAAAUGUAUAUUAUUUUUCAUAUCUGGAGAUUUUUCAGGUAUCUUUUUUAUUCUAGUAUAACUGUUUUCUGGCUUACAAGCAUACUUUGCAUGAUUUUUAAUCUUUGAAAUUUGUUAAGAGUUAUUUUAUGGUAUAAAAUAUGAUCUACCAUGAUUAGUCUUUCUUGUGGAUUUGCAAAUAAUAUGUAUCUGCUAUUGAGUGGCCUUUUCUAUAAAUAUCAAUUUGACCAAGUUGUAUGAUAGAGCUGAUGGUUCAGAUCAUCUAUAACCAUCUAUAAUACCACUGACAUGCUACCUACUUACUCUACCAGUUACUGAGAGAAGAGUGUUGAAGUCUCCAACUAUAGUUUUAGAUAUCUCUAUUUCUUUUACUUUUUUUUUCCAAUGUGCCAAUAUUUUUUCUUGUGUAUUUUGAAAUUCAUAUUAGGUGGAUACACACUUGAGAUUAUUACACUUUCUGUAGCAUUGGCGCUUUGUCAUUAUUUAAUUUCCCACUUAGCUAUGUUCCGCAUGGUUAGUGUCUGCAUGUUAUACAAUCCAUCACUUUACUUUUAAUCUAUCUAUGUCAGUAUCUAAAAUGGGAUGCUUGCAGUCACCAUUAUGUUGGGUCUUGCUUUGUUUCUUUAAUCAAAUCUGAUAAUCUAUGUUUACUUUCAACUAGUAAGUUUAGACCAUUUCCAUUUAAAGUGAUUAUCCACCUGUUUAUAUUAAAAUCUACCAUCUUCCCUGCUGUCUUACACUUGUUUUAUGUUUUCUCUUUCUCUUCUUUUUCUGAAUUGAAUUAUGUCUUUUUAUGAUUCCUUUUCUCUUUUUUAAAAAUUUUUUUUAUUUUUUUUUUGAGAUGGAGUCUCACUCUGUCACCCAGGCUGGAGUGCAGUGGCAUGAUCUUGGCUCACUGCAACCUCUGCCUCCCGGGAAGCCAUUCUCCAGCCUCAGCCUUCCAAGUACCUGGAAUUACAGGUGUCCACCACCAUGCCUGGCUAACUUUUUUAUUUUUAGUAGAGACGGAGUUUCACCAUGUUGGCCAGGCUGGUCUCAAACUCCUGACCUCAGGUAAUACAUCCGCCUCAGCCUCCCAAAGUGCUGGGAUUACGGGCAUGAUCCACUGCCCCCUGGCCUCUAUUUUUUUUUAUAGUAGUUUUCAUAGACUCUAAAAAGUACGUUUUUAAUAUAAUACAACUCUACCUUUAAUUAUUAUCCCACUGCUGAAGCAGAUAGCAUAUGCCCUAUUACUCCAUCCCAUUCCUUGCUCUAUUUUUUCAUCCAUUUCAUUUUCAUAUGGGAUAUAAACUUAAAUUUUAGAGCACUUACAAUGAUAAUAAAAUCUUUUUAUAAAUUAUUCUAUUUCUGAUGUUCUUAAUUUGUUUGUGGGUAGAACC